GAAAUGCGAUAAGUAAUGCGAAUUGCAGAAUCCGUGAGUCAUCGAAUCUUUGAACGCACAUUGCGCCCUCUGGUAUUCCGGAGGGCAUGCCUGUUCGAGCGUCAUUAUCACCCCUCAAGCCCGGCUUGUUGUUGGUUGUAGCGGCCCCCCCGCUCUUCCCAAAGAUAAUGACGGCGUCUGUGAGGACUCCUGUACACUGAGCUUUCGGGCACGUACUAGGCUAGAACUUCAGACCCGGUCACCGUCCCCUCUGGGGACACUAUUUUACCAAGGUUGACCUCGGAUCAGGUAGGGAUACCCGCUGAACUUAA
rnacentral:misc_RNA from 1 species